UACGUAGGGGGCAAGCGUUGUCCGGAUUUAUUGGGCGUAAAGAGCGUGUAGGCGGCUCGGUAAGUCCGCUGUAAAAGUCAAAGGCUCAACCUUUGAAUGUCAGUGGAUACUGCCGGGCUAGAGUCCGGAAGAGGCGAGUGGAACUCCUGGUGUAGCGGUGGAAUGCGCAGAUAUCAGGAAGAACACCAACGGCGAAGGCAGCUCGCUGGGACGGUACUGACGCUGAGACGCGAAAGCGUGGGGAGCGAACAGG
rnacentral:rRNA from 1 species